UCUAAUAUAAUUUAAGGUAAAUAAAGGUAAGUGUAAAAUUAGAAUAAUAUGACUGAGAGUGUGUAAUUAUCUGUAUUUAUUCGUUCUUUUAAAAUGCACUUAAUAGAGUCAGGAGUAACAACAACAACAAAAUUAUCAUUUGUCGUUGCUGCUGUGGGCUUAUGUUAUUUUGAAAAAUUAUGCAGACUAAUUAAAAUCAAAACAGUUUUGCAACCUACAUAAAAUUACUUGAUAAUUUAAAGUUUGGAAAAGUGACCAUAAAAUUAAGGGAAUCUUUUAACGUAUCCUACACUCUCAUUUAGUGUAUUACUCCGAGUUACCAGAACUGAAAUUUUGUGAGAAGCUGAAAAACAGAAUUAGUUUCGGAAGAUAUUUAUCGAAUAAGCUAAAUUAUUAAAAAUACAGUCCCUUGUUCUUAUGUAAGGAUGUUAACUGAAACUACUUGAAAACAAUAUGAAAAGAAACAGAUUUCAACUUCAGAGAGUUGAGAUAACGUUUUCAAUUGGAAAAAGAACUACGUAAUAAUGAAUUUUGUAGUUUAUGUUCCUAUAGUACUUAUUGCAAUUAAUUUGGGGAGGUUACGUUAGGAUCUUCACGCAUCUCAUUUGAUGCAAAGAAGAAACGGUUUGCACAAAAAAUGUUUUGUGAACUUAAUGGCUAUUUGAAUUCCAUAAAAUCAGGGUUUGUUACGUUUGUUAACUAACAGAGAAUGCACAUGUCAGGAAACACCUUACGCCGUUAAAUGGGGUGGUUAGUUAACAACGGAUGGCCAAGUCCAGUGAUUGAUUUGUCCUAAUUCUAAGGUGAAACCAGCUGCUUUCAGUUUCCCUUUCUAAACCUAAUCAGAUAACCGUUAUUUUUACUCGACUCUUAUGUAAUGGUAUCUUCAGGCUACAGAACGAAAGCACGUAAUGAAGUAACGUUAUGGCGGAAUAUUACAGACAACCCAUCAGACAGCAUGUGACUCGUGUAUCCGGAUAUUCCAGUUUCGAUUUCAACAAAGUACGCUCCGCCUGCUUUUUGUCCCAAGCUCGUUUCAUGCAUGUAAAUCACAUCUACACUUUAGGUUUUAGACUAUGUUAAAUUCUGUUCAUGUCAUGCCUGCUACGUGCCCUCCCCAUCUCAUCCUCCUUAAUUUAAUAAUCCCGACAAUAACAGAUGGAGUACCGGCACUUACAGGUUGUCCCAAAAAAAAAGAUGGAUAUACACACACACACAUUCAACGAAUAAAAUACAGACAUUUUAAUAAACUAAACCAUUACAUACGUAAACACUGGCACUUAAUGAAUUAGCGAAUCCAAAGUGCCUGCUCAGAAUGACCAGAUGACAGCUGUGCGCAACUGACUGACAAGUUUAAUAUUACUUAUUAUGAUGCGAUUAAGUCUUUUUGGGACAACCUGUACUAUGAUGCUCAUCGUUAUGAAAGCAUAAUUUUCUUAGUCCUUUUGUGUCUUACCAUUUCGUAUGCCAAAAUUGUAUAACGAAAUUUGUUACAUAAACAAGGACGGAAUAAUAAAAUUUUAAAGAUGAUACAAGGAAAUUGAGCAAACGCAAGGAGAUAGAGA